rnacentral:rRNA from 1 species
GCCCGACCGUAUAGACCGUACCCGAAACCGACACAGGUGGUCAGGUAGAGUAUACCAAGGCGCUUGAGAGAACUAUGUUGAAGGAACUCGGCAAAUUGCACGCGUAACUUCGGAAGAAGCGUGACCCCAUUAUACGCAAGUGUGGUGGGGUGGCACAGACCAGGGGGUAGCGACUGUUUAUCAAAAACACAGGGCUCUGCGAAGCCGCAAGGCGACGUAUAGGGUCUGACGCCUGCCCGGUGCUGGAAGGUUAAGAGGAGAGGUGCAAGCUUUGAAUCGAAGCCCCAGUAAACGGCGGCCGUAACAAUAACGGUCCUAAGGUAGCGAAAUUCCUUGUCGGGUAAGUUCCGACCUGCACGAAUGGCGUAACGACUUCCCCGCUGUCUCCAACAUAGACUCAGUGAAAUUGAAUCCCCCGUGAAGAUGCGGGGUUCCUGCGGUCAGACGGAAAGACCCCGUGCACCUUUACUAUAGCUUUACACUGGCAUUCGCCAAGGCAUGUGUAGGAUAGGUGGUAGGCUUUGAAGCUUGGACGCUAGUUUGAGUGGAGCCAUCCUUGAAAUACCACCCUUAUCUUCGUGGAUGUCUAACCGCGAUCCGUCAUCCGGGUCCGGGACAGUGUAUGGUGGGUAGUUUGACUGGGGCGGUCGCCUCCGAAAGAGUAACGGAGGCGCGCGAUGGUGGGCUCAGACCGGUCGGAAAUCGGUCGUCGAGUGCAAUGGCGUAAGCCCGCCUGACUGCGAGACUGACAAGUCGAGCAGAGACGAAAGUCGGUCAUAGUGAUCCGGUGGUCCCGCGUGGAAGGGCCAUCGCUCAACGGAUAAAAGGUACGCCGGGGAUAACAGGCUGAUGACCCCCAAGAGUCCAUAUCGACGGGGUUGUUUGGCACCUCGAUGUCGACUCUUCGCAUCCUGGGGCUGGAGCAGGUCCCAAGGGUAUGGCUGUUCGCCAUUUAAAGCGGUACGUGAGUUGGGUUCAGAACGUCGUGAGACAGUUCGGUCCCUAUCUGCCGUGGGUGUAGGAAUAUUGACAGGAUCUGUCCCUAGUACGAGAGGACCGGGAUGGACGUAUCUCUGGUGGAUCUGUUGUCCUGCCAAGGGCAUAGCAGAGUAGCUAUAUACGGAAUGGAUAACCGCUGAAGGCAUCUAAGCGGGAAACCAACCUGGAAACGAGUGUUCCCUGAGAGCCGUGGAAGACGACCACGUUGAUAGGACGGGUGUGGACGCAAGGCAACUUGUGAAGCUUACCGUUACUAAUAGCUC